GUCGAGCGAUGGAUUGAGAGCUUGCUCUCAAGAAGUUAGCGGCGGACGGGUGAGUAACACGUGGGUAACCUGCCCAUAAGACUGGGAUAACUCCGGGAAACCGGGGCUAAUACCGGAUAACAUUUUGAACUGCAUGGUUCGAAAUUGAAAGGCGGCUUCGGCUGUCACUUAUGGAUGGACCCGCGUCGCAUUAGCUAGUUGGUGAGGUAACGGCUCACCAAGGCAACGAUGCGUAGCCGACCUGAGAGGGUGAUCGGCCACACUGGGACUGAGACACGGCCCAGACUCCUACGGGAGGCAGCAGUAGGGAAUCUUCCGCAAUGGACGAAAGUCUGACGGAGCAACGCCGCGUGAGUGAUGAAGGCUUUCGGGUCGUAAAACUCUGUUGUUAGGGAAGAACAAGUGCUAGUUGAAUAAGCUGGCACCUUGACGGUACCUAACCAGAAAGCCACGGCUAACUACGUGCCAGCAGCCGCGGUAAUACGUAGGUGGCAAGCGUUAUCCGGAAUUAUUGGGCGUAAAGCGCGCGCAGGUGGUUUCUUAAGUCUGAUGUGAAAGCCCACGGCUCAACCGUGGAGGGUCAUUGGAAACUGGGAGACUUGAGUGCAGAAGAGGAAAGUGGAAUUCCAUGUGUAGCGGUGAAAUGCGUAGAGAUAUGGAGGAACACCAGUGGCGAAGGCGACUUUCUGGUCUGUAACUGACACUGAGGCGCGAAAGCGUGGGG
rnacentral:rRNA from 1 species